rnacentral:rRNA from 1 species
ACUACGGGUGGCAGCAGUGGGGAAUAUUGCACAAUGGGCGCAAGCCUGAUGCAGCGACGCCGCGUGCGGGAUGGAGGCCUUCGGGUUGUAAACCGCUUUUGUUCAAGGGCAAGGCACGGUCUUUGGCCGUGUUGAGGGGAUUGUUCGAAUAAGCACCGGCUAACUACGUGCCAGCAGCCGCGGUAAUACGGGGGGUGCAAGCGUUAUCCGGAUUUAUUGGGCGUAAAGGGCUCGUAGGCGGUUCGUCGCGGCCGGUGUGAAAGUCCAUCGCUUAACGGGGGAUCCGCGCCGGGUAGGGGCGGGCGUGAGUGCGGGAGGGGAGACUGGAAUUCCCGGUGUAACGGUGGAAUGUGUAGAUAUCGGGAAGAACACCAAUGGCGAAGGCAGGUCUCUGGGCCGUUACUGACGCUGAGGAGCGAAAGCGUGGGGAGCGAACAGGAUUAGAUACCCUUGUAGUC